AAAUUUAGGCUAACACUAAACCAGGGGCCUUCAAAGCCCCAAACAAGAGCACCCCCCUCUUAAUUUCU
rnacentral:tRNA from 1 species